GCAGAAUUUAUAUCCAAAAAAGAUGCAACAACAGAUUUAUUUUCUGUGAAUGCUGUGCGUAUAUCUGUGGUUAAUAUGGCAAUAUUAUCUAUGGUACCUCUACCUUUGCGGAAUCCAAACUGUGUAUUGGAAAGGAGGUUAUGUUUUUCUACAAACCAUUCUAGUCUGUUUUUCGCUAAAUGUUCCGCAAUCUUUAAUAAAACAGAGGAUAGAACAAUGGGGCGAUAUGAUGUAGCCAAAGAUGGGGGUUUGUUGGGUUUUGGUACUGGAAUAACUUUUUGUUUUCUCCAUGAAGUGGG